UACGGGGGGGGCAAGCGUUGUUCGGAAUUACUGGGCGUAAAGGGCUCGUAGGCGGCCAACUAAGUCAGACGUGAAAUCCCCAGGCUCAACCUGGGAACUGCGUCUGAUACUGGAUGGCUUGAAUCCGGGAGAGGGAUGCAGAAUUCCAGGUGUAGCGGUGAAAUGCGUAGAUAUUCGGAAGAACACCAGUGGCGAAGGCGGCUCACUGGACGAUUGUUGACGCUGAGGUGCGAAAGCGUGGGGAGCAAACAGG
rnacentral:rRNA from 1 species